rfam:Schistosoma curassoni strain Dakar, Senegal genome assembly, scaffold: SCTD_contig0000144
AUCCAUCUGAUGAGUCCAAAAUAAUGCAAAACACGCGUCAUGGAU